rnacentral:rRNA from 1 species
GCACCUGAUUGACGAUGGAUCACCAGUGAGUGGCGGACGGGUGAGUAACACGUAGGUAACCUGCCCCGGAGCGGGGGAUAACAUUUGGAAACAGAUGCUAAUACCGCAUAACAACAAAAGCCACAUGGCUUUUGUUUGAAAGAUGGCUUUGGCUAUCACUCUGGGAUGGACCUGCGGUGCAUUAGCUAGUUGGUAAGGUAACGGCUUACCAAGGCGAUGAUGCAUAGCCGAGUUGAGAGACUGAUCGGCCACAAUGGAACUGAGACACGGUCCAUACUCCUACGGGAGGCAGCAGUAGGGAAUCUUCCACAAUGGGCGCAAGCCUGAUGGAGCAACACCGCGUGAGUGAAGAAGGGUUUCGGCUCGUAAAGCUCUGUUGUUGGAGAAGAACGUGCGUGAGAGUAACUGUUCACGCAGUGACGGUAUCCAACCAGAAAGUCACGGCUAACUACGUGCCAGCAGCCGCGGUAAUACGUAGGUGGCAAGCGUUAUCCGGAUUUAUUGGGCGUAAAGCGAGCGCAGGCGGUUGCUUAGGUCUGAUGUGAAAGCCUUCGGCUUAACCGAAGAAGUGCAUCGGAAACCGGGCAACUUGAGUGCAGAAGAGGACAGUGGAACUCCAUGUGUAGCGGUGGAAUGCGUAGAUAUAUGGAAGAACACCAGUGGCGAAGGCGGCUGUCUGGUCUGCAACUGACGCUGAGGCUCGAAAGCAUGGGUAGCGAACAGGAUUAGAUACCCUGGUAGUCCAUGCCGUAAACGAUGAGUGCUAGGUGUUGGAGGGUUUCCGCCCUUCAGUGCCGGAGCUUAACGCAUUAAGCACUCCGCCUGGGGAGUACGACCGCAAG